GGGUUGCCAAAGUUGUAUCUUAGG
rnacentral:siRNA from 1 species